GACGAACGCUGGCGGCGUGCCUAAUACAUGCAAGUAGAACGCUGAAGGAGGAGCUUGCUUCUCUGGAUGAGUUGCGAACGGGUGAGUAACGCGUAGGUAACCUGCCUGGUAGCGGGGGAUAACUAUUGGAAGCGAUAGCUAAUACCGCAUAAGAGUAGAUGUUGCAUGACAUUUACUUAAAAGGUGCAAUUGCAUCACUACCAGAUGGACCUGCGUUGUAUUAGCUAGUUGGUGAGGUAACGGCUCACCAAGGCAACGAUACAUAGCCGACCUGAGAGGGUGAUCGGCCACACUGGGACUGAGACACGGCCCAGACUCCUACGGGAGGCAGCAGUAGGGAAUCUUCGGCAAUGGACGGAAGUCUGACCGAGCAACGCCGCGUGAGUGAAGAAGGGUUUCGGAUCGGAAAGCUCUGUUGUAAGAGAAGAACGAGUGUGAGAGUGGAAAGUUCACACUGUGACGGUAUCUUACCAGAAAGAGACGGCUAACUACGUG
rnacentral:rRNA from 1 species